UUGCGUCCACCGACAGACCUUAAACAAUCUAGUGUUGUUCUUUUGGUUUGCACUGGGACGUGAAAGAAAAAAAUCCCUGCACUCCCUGUUUUUGUGGCAGCCCAGAUUGAGUAGGGGCUAGCUGU